UCCCUGGUGGCCCAGUGGUUAAGACGCUGUCCUUCUGAUGCAGAGGGCGCAGGUUCGAUCCCUGCUCAGGGAA